UACGUAGGGGGCAAGCGUUGUCCGGAUUUAUUGGGCGUAAAGAGCGUGUAGGCGGCCAGGUAGGUCCGUUGUGAAAACUAGAGGCUCAACCUCUAGACGUCGAUGGAAACCAUCUGGCUAGAGUCCGGAAGAGGAGAGUGGAAUUCCUGGUGUAGCGGUGAAAUGCGCAGAUAUCAGGAAGAACACCAAUGGCGAAAGCAGCUCUCUGGGACGGUACUGACGCUGAGACGCGAAAGCGUGGGGAGCGAACAGG
rnacentral:rRNA from 1 species